AUGGAAGGAGCUUUGGAUGGUGGUCUUGAUAUUGCGCACAGUGACAAGAGAUUUGCUGGCUUCAAGAAGGAUAAGAAGCAGCUGGGCGCUGAGAUUCACCGCAAAAUCCGCAAAUACAUCUAUGAAGGUCAUGUUGCUGACUACAUGAAGUCAAUAGCUGAUGAGGAAUCUAAGAAGUACCAAUCUCACUUCAGUGAGUACAUCAAGAAGAAUAUUGCGGCCGAUGACAUGGAAGCACUGUACAAGAAGGUUCAUGCUACCAUUUGUGCUUAUCCUACCAUGGCAAAAUCAACCAAGGAACCUCCAAAGACACACAAGAUGCAUGAUGAACUACACACUAAAGUUCAGCUGAAGUUCCCCUGUUUUCUUCUACUACAAGAGUUCUGUCGAUUUGUACUACUUGGCUGCAAAUGUAUGCCGCUUGCAUCACCAUACGGAUAG
rnacentral:rRNA from 1 species